rnacentral:tRNA from 1 species
UAAACGAUUAGCAUAAUAAUGCAUAAAGUUUCGGCCUUUAAUAUGUUCAAUGAACCUCGUUUAG